rnacentral:rRNA from 1 species
AAAUUGAAGAGUUUGAUCAUGGCUCAGAUUGAACGCUGGCGGCAGGCCUAACACAUGCAAGUCGAGCGGAAACGACACUAACAAUCCUUCGGGGGCGUUAAUGGGCGUCGAGCGGCGGACGGGUGAGUAAUGCCUAGGAAAUUGCCUUGAUGUGGGGGAUAACCAUUGGAAACGAUGGCUAAUACCGCAUAAUGCCUA